rnacentral:rRNA from 1 species
GACGAACGCUGGCGGCGUGCCUAAUACAUGCAAGUCGAACGCUUCUUUUUCCACCGGAGCUUGCUCCACCGGAAAAAGAGGAGUGGCGAACGGGUGAGUAACACGUGGGUAACCUGCCCAUCAGAAGGGGAUAACACUUGGAAACAGGUGCUAAUACCGUAUAACAAUCAAAACCGCAUGGUUUUGAUUUGAAAGGCGCUUUCGGGUGUCGCUGAUGGAUGGACCCGCGGUGCAUUAGCUAGUUGGUGAGGUAACGGCUCACCAAGGCCACGAUGCAUAGCCGACCUGAGAGGGUGAUCGGCCACAUUGGGACUGAGACACGGCCCAAACUCCUACGGGAGGCAGCAGUAGGGAAUCUUCGGCAAUGGACGAAAGUCUGACCGAGCAACGCCGCGUGAGUGAAGAAGGUUUUCGGAUCGUAAAACUCUGUUGUUAGAGAAGAACAAGGAUGAGAGUAACUGUUCAUCCCUGACGGUAUCUAACCAGAAGUMCGRYMWUG